GACGGGGGAUGCAAGUGUUAUCCGGAAUCACUGGGCGUAAAGCGUCUGCAGGUGGUUUCCUAAGUCCACUGUUAAACCUUGAGGCUCAACCUCAAAUCUGCAUUGGAAACUAGGAGACUUGAGUAUAGUAGGGGUAGAGGGAAUUUCCAGUGGAGCGGUGAAAUGCGUAGAUAUUGGAAAGAACACCAAUGGCGAAGGCAGCUCUCUGGGACGGUACUGACGCUGAGACGCGAAAGCGUGGGGAGCGAACAGG
rnacentral:rRNA from 1 species